AUUCUCUCUUCCUAGCUUUUUGUCUUCUUUCUUUUUUUCUUUUGAACUAAACUGGAGUACUAUUAAUAGCACUAAGUUAUUGGUGCUAUUAGAUUUUCGACCUUUGGAUUAAGAAAUGUACGGUUAGGAUGAUAAUGAUGCCCUAGGGUUCAGUGGGUGGUUGGUUAAAUAGUAUAAUCUAACGGAUGAAAAUAAUCAAAAUGAUAAAUCUAACGUCAGAAAACUUGGUAACACAAAGUGUUUAGUGCUACUGAUAGCAUUAUAGCCGGACUCUUUUCUUUUUCAAAUUCUAUCUGUUUGAAUGUGAUGGGAGACUCCAACAAAUCUCACUAGUUAUUAUUGU
rnacentral:lncRNA from 1 species